rnacentral:lncRNA from 1 species
GCGGAUAUGGAAAUGGGAAACCCUAGCAUUAAGGAUAUGUCAUUGGGAGUUUGUCGCGGGCCAUCCUGAUAAGCUACCCUUUUAUUUGUUUUUUCAUUAAUUGAUAUGGGCAUAAGGCCCAGAUAAGUAUUGUAAUGAUUUUGAGUUUCAUUAUGAUAAAAGCCCAAAAGUUAUUUUAAAACAAAGUGUGCAUUCUCUGACAUACUACAAUCUUCAAACAAACUAGGAUGAUGUAAAGUAUGAAUAUUUAUUCAUCCAACUUUGUCACAUAAAUUCACACUCAAAAUUUAGAAACUUAAAUUUCGAAAUUAUGAUGUAACAUAAAUUGG